rnacentral:lncRNA from 1 species
GUAAUCCAGCCUACAUCAAUCCCGAAAAUGGUAGCUUCACAAUUGACCUUCACAAUAGUUCCAUGGCUGUUGCGGUGUUCAGACGACUCAGUUGUAAAAACUAAGCAAUGAGGAACAAGGGUCCUCGAAUAAUGAACAACUAUAAUUUGUGAAAGGUGAGCACAUGCGAUCGCCACCGUUCCAAGCAUACCCCAGCUAUCUACAUGCCGGAAGCCAGCUAUAGACAUGCCGAAAGUAUUAAUGAUGCGAUAAGCCAGAUCUCCCAAAACUCCAUCACAAUCAUUCUCAUUGAUAACACAGAACGACAUAUCAACGCAGAAUCACCCAAGAAUGGGGUACUAAAUCAACACACGCCAAAAGGCGAGACGGGAAAACACAAUCGGAUCUUUGAUUUCAAAAGAUCUGAUUUAUUCAGAAAACAAUCAAGCCCAAACUCAAAUCCGAAACAGAUCCGAGAAUAAAACUCGAUUGGAAUCUUCGAGGUUUAAGCAACACUCGAUUUUAUUGAAAAACAAAAAACUAGUAAAUAGUGGAGAAGAUGGGAGAGCGAAAAUGAUUUGGUGGAUGAAGAGGAUGAAGGUGAAGAAUGGAGAAGUGACGGCUAGUUUUGGGAGUCGACUCUCAAAACCCUAAUUUGAGAGAGAA